AUUGAACGCUGGCGGCAGGCCUAACACAUGCAAGUCGAACGGUAACAGGAAGCAGCUUGCUGCUUCGCUGACGAGUGGCGGACGGGUGAGUAAUGUCUGGGAAACUGCCUGAUGGAGGGGGAUAACUACUGGAAACGGUAGCUAAUACCGCAUAACGUCGCAAGACCAAAGAGGGGGACCUUCGGGCCUCUUGCCAUCGGAUGUGCCCAGAUGGGAUUAGCUAGUAGGUGGAGUAACGGCUCACCUAGGCGACGAUCCCUAGCUGGUCUGAGAGGAUGACCAGCCAACCUGGAACUGAGACACGGUCCAGACUCCUACGGGAGGCAGCAGUGGGGAAUAUUGCACAAUGGGCGCAAGCCUGAUGCAGCCAUGCCGCGUGUAUGAAGAAGGCCUUCGGGUUGUAAAGUACUUUCAGCGGGGAGGAAGGCGAUAAGGUUAAUAACCUUGUCGAUUGACGUUACCCGCAGAAGAAGCACCGGCUAACUCCGUGCCAGCAGCCGCCGUAA
rnacentral:rRNA from 1 species